AUGUCAGGGUACGGCGCCUCCAACAUCGUCGACCGGCUCCACCCCGAGAGCGUCCGGGUCUACCUCAUCACCUCCGAGCUCGUCCGGGCCGUCCACCGAGGCCUCGCCAUCAAGAGCCUCAAGCAAGGGGAUGAUCCAGAGGCGGCACGUCGGCACACGGCGCAUCUCGACGGCCUCGACUGGGACGUCAUCCUUGUCCGAGAUAAGGAGUUCAGAGCUCGCAGCACGCCUAGUGGCAAGAUUAUCCUGCACACCGGGUGCUUCGACCUUCUCAAGACCGAUGAGGAGAUAGCCUCUAUUAUUGCACACGAGAUUGGGCACAUUGUUGCGAGGCAUUCAGUGGAGCGGAACCUUUACAGGAGGAGCUGGUUUCCGUCCUGCCUUAGGCACUACUUGCUACAGAGGCAGGAGCUAGAGGCAGAUCACAUUGGAAUCCUACUACUAGGCGCUGCUGGUUACGAUCCGCGCAUAGCCCCGGCAACCAUUGAAACAGUCAAGGAAAAGCUAGGAUCAAGGAAAGCAUGCGCCACUCAUCCUUCCACUGAGACAAGAUUGCAGCUCUUGUCGCAACACAAGGUCAUGGAGGAGGCACUCGAACUUUAUAGAGAGGUUAAAGCCAACUACUCGCUUUGCUUGACGCUCAGAUCCAUGGCGGCCAGUCCUGAGUUUGGUAGAUUUUUGCUUGGGGAGUGA
rnacentral:rRNA from 1 species